UACGAAGGUGGCGAAUGUUACUCGGAUUCACUGGGCGUAAAGCGUCGGUAGGAGGCUUGUUAAGUUAGGUGUGAAAGCCCCGCGCUCAACGUGGGAAUUGCACUUAAAACUAACUGGCUUGAAGGUAUGAGAGGAAGGCGGAAUAACUGGUGUAGAGGUAAAAUUCAUAGAUAUCAGUUGGAACACCCAUGGCGAAGGCAGCUUUCUGGCAUAUUCUUGACUCUGAGCGACGACAGCGUGGGGAGCAAACAGG
rnacentral:rRNA from 1 species